rnacentral:sRNA from 1 species
GCCUAGCCCAGAUGGAAGCGGCAUCCUUUUUCUGGCUUCUUUAGCCAGGAAAAGAUAAAGCGGACAGCUGGAAAGAGC